rnacentral:rRNA from 1 species
GAAUCGUCCAAACGUUGUUCGGAUUCACUGGGUUUAAAGGGCGCGUAGGCGGUGCGUUAAGUCGGCGGUGAAAUACUUCGGCUCAACCGGAGAAUAGCCGCUGAAACUGGCGUGCUCGAGGGAGGUAGAGGUGUGUGGAACUUCCGGUGGAGCGGUGAAAUGCGUUGAUAUCGGAAGGAACACCUGUGGCGAAAGCGAUGCACUGGACCUCUUCUGACGCUGAGGCGCGAAAGCCAGGGGAGCGAACGGGAUUAGAUACCCCGGUAGUCCUGGCCAUAAACGAUGGGGACUAGAGAGUAGAUGCUCCGAUGUGUUUACUCUCGAAGCAAAAGUGGUAAGUCCCCCACCUGGGGAGUAUGGUCGCAAGGCUG